UACGUAGGGUGCAGGCGUUUAAUCGGAAUUACUGGGCGUAAAGCGUGCGCAGGCGGUUUGCUAAGACAGGUGUGAAAUCCCCCGGGCUUAACCUGGGAACUGCGCUUGUUACUGGCAGGCUUGAGUGUGGCAGAGGGGGGGUGGAAUUCCACGUGUAGCAGUGAAAUGCGUAGAGAUGUGGAGGAACACCGAUGGCGAAGGCAGCCCCCUGGGCUAACACUGACGCCUCAUGCACGAAAGCGUGGGGAGCAAACAGG
rnacentral:rRNA from 1 species